CCCAGUCGAGCGAAUCGANGGGAGCUUGCUCCCUGAGAUUAGCGGCGGACGGGUGAGUAACACGUGGGCAACCUGCCUAUAAGACUGGGAUAACUUCGGGAAACCGGAGCUAAUACCGGAUACGUUCUUUUCUUCGCAUGAGAGAAGAUGGAAAGACGGUUUACGCUGUCACUUAUAGAUGGGCCCGCGGGCGCAUUAAGCUAGUUGGUGAGGUAAUGGCUCACCAAGGCGACGAUGCGUAGCCGACCUGAGAGGGUGAUCGGCCACACUGGGACUGAGACACGGCCCAGACUCCUACGGGAGGCAGCAGUAGGGAAUCUUCCGCAAUGGACGAAAGUCUGACGGAGCAACGCCGCGUGAACGAAGAAGGCCUUCGGGUCGUAAAGUUCUGUUGUUAGGGAAGAACAAGUACCAGAGUAACUGCUGGUACCUUGACGGACCUAACCAGAAAGCCACGGCAACUACGUGCCAGCAGCCGCGG
rnacentral:rRNA from 1 species